rnacentral:rRNA from 1 species
UCCCUUAGUAACUGCGAGUGAAGUGGGAAGAGCUCAAAUUUGAAAUCUGGCAGUCUCUUUUUUUCUCUUUGGCUGCCUGAGUUGUAAUCUAGAGAAGUGCUUACCUGCGCUGGACCAUGUAUAAGUCUCCUGGAAUGGAGUGUCAUAGAGGGUGAGAAUCCUGUCUUUGACAUGGACUGCCAGUGUGUUAAGGUGUGCUCUCAAAGAGUCGAGUUGUUUGGGAAUGCAGCUCUAAAUGGGUGGUAAACUCCAUCUAAAGCUAAAUAUUGGCGAGAGACCGAUAGUGAACAAGUACCGUGAGGGAAAGAUGAAAAGGACUUUGGAAAGAGAGUUAAAAAGUAUGUGAAAUUGUUGAAAGGGAAACACUUGAAGUCAGUUGUGUCAGUUAGGGAUCAACCCAGCUAUUUUCUUGCUGGGUGAACUUUCUAGCCUGACAGGCCAACAUCAGUUCUGACUGCUGGAUAAAGGCAGAGGGAAUGUGGCACCCUCGGGUGUGUUAUAGCCCUUCGUCAGAUGUGGCAGUUGGGACUGAGGGAUGCAGUGUGCUGUGAAGCUGGGUUUUGACCACAUUCAUGCUUAGGAUGUUGGCUUUUUUUAAUGCUUCAUUGACCCGUCUUGAAACCGCACCAAGGAGUCUAACAUGCCUGCGAGUGUUUGGGUGGKRAAACCCUUGCGCAGAUUGAAAGGAAAGUUGAGAUCYYCAUCAUGAGGAGCWUUGCACCCGGACCAGAGCUUUAGCAUGGAUUUGAGGUARGACAUGCAUUUGGGACCCGAAAGAUGGGAACUAUGCCUGAUAGGGCAAAGCCAGAGGAAACUUUGGGGAAGCUCGUAGCGAUUUUGACGUGCAAAUCGAUCGUCGAAUUUGGGUAUAGGGGCGAAAGAUAAUCGAACCAUUUAGUAGCUGGUUCCUGCCGAAUUUCCCUCAGGAUAGCAGAAGCUCGUUAUCAGAUUUAUGUGGUAAAGCGAAUGAUUAGAGGCCUUGGGGUUGAAACAACCUUAACCUAUCUCAAACUUUAAAUAUGUAAGAACAAGCUGUCACUUGACUGGACUGCUUGGUGAUUGAGAGUUUCUAGUGGGCCAUUUUUGGUAAGCAGAACUGGCGAUGCGGGAUGAACCGAUCGUGAGGUUAAGGCGCCGGAAUUCACGCUCAUCAGACACCACAAAAGGUGUUAGUUCAUUUAGACACCAGGACGGUGGCCAUGGAAGUCGGACCCCGUUAAGGAGUGGGUAACAAUUCACCUGCCGAAUGAACUAGCCCUGAAAAUGGAUGGCGCUUAAGCGUGAUGCCCAUACCUCACU